AUUGAACGCUGGCGGCAGGCCUAACACAUGCAAGUCGAGCGGAGCGGCGGACGGGCGCGUAAUGCCUAGGAAUCUGUCUGGUAGUGGGGGAUAACGUCCGGAAACGGGCGCUAAUACCGCAUACUAUCAGAUGAGCCUAGGUCGGAUUAGCUAGUUGGUUGGGUAAAGGCCUACCAAGGCGACGAUCCGUAACUGGUCUGAGAGGAUGAUCAGUCACACUGCAACUGAGACACGGCCCAGACUCCUACGGGAGGCAGCAGUGGGGAAUAUUGGACAAUGGGCGAAAGCCUGGUCCAGCCAUGCCGCGUGUGUGGAGAAGGGCUUCGGAUUGUAGAGCACUUUAAGUUGGGAGGCGUUACCAACAGAAUAAGCACCGGCUAACUUCGUGCCAGCCGCCGCGGUAAUAC
rnacentral:rRNA from 1 species